rnacentral:lncRNA from 1 species
GAAGAGGGCCGGGGCAGGAAGCGGUGUGUACAGGAGGGGGGGCGGGAGGGGGAGAGGACGGCUGGUCGGCAAUGCCGGUACGAGGAAAAUCUGCUGGAGGACAGCCUCCGGGAGAAAGACACUUGUCUUAAAAAAUACAACCGGGACGUGCAGUGGGAUCCAGAACCACAGGAAGGGCACGCAGCGGGGGCAAGCACCAGCGCAGCGGGAGCGCGCUGCAGCAGCACUCCGCGCCCCCGGCGAGACCAGCCUCCCUUCCCGAGGUGUUCCCUUCGAGCAGAAACGGCAGGACAGAGACCUCCAGCCACUCCUUUCCACACACAACCCCGUAACCACUGGCGAUUUCUGUCCGUCUUCCCACACGGAGAAAAACACCGGGCCCUUCCGACAUCCCUGCGAGUCGCUGUGUCUGCAAGGGUUAAACCAGAGAAUGUAGCAGCUAGAGUGUCUGAUGAAAACAUUAAUAAAACGUGAUGAAUAAGCAGCGGAAUGGUAAGGACGGUGCAUGUGAGACUGCGGUGCAGAUCGCAACUUAGUGCUGAGAGCUGUGACUAACGUGUGGAAUGGAGUGGGCAAAUAGGGCUGUUGCUUCAGGAUUUCUUUGAGUUCAGAAAGUGGAGAGAAGCAAGCUAUUGAAAGAUUGAGAAGCAAGACGAGACAAUUGGAAGGUUCCUUUCCUUCCUUUCCCUUUCCUUUCCNNNNNNNNNNNNNNNNNNNNNNNNNNNNNNNNUUUUUUUUGAGGGUCUGUUUGGUGGAGACGAGCAAUCUGAAUGUGAAAUAAAACCUACUCACCGGGUGAAAUCUCA